rnacentral:misc_RNA from 1 species
AAGUUUCUGAGAAUGCUUCUGUCGAGAUUUUAUAUGAAGAUAUUCCCGUUUCCAACGAAAUCCUCAAAGCUAUCCAAAUAUCCUCUUGCAGAUUCUACAAAAAGAGUGUUUCAAAGCUGCUCUUUGCAAAGAAAGGUUCAACUCUGUCAGUAGAGGGGACACAUCAAGAACAAGUUUCUGAGAAUGCUUCUGUCUGGCUUUUAUUGGAAGACGUUUCC